UGAGGAAUAUUGGUCAAUGGGCGCGAGCCUGAACCAGCCAAGUAGCGUGCAGGAAGACGGCUCUAUGGGUUGUACACUGCUUUUAUGCGGGGAUAAAGGAGUCCACGUGUGGAUUUUUGCAGGUACCGCAUGACUAAGGACCGGCUAAUUCCGUGCCAGCCGCCGCGGUACUACGGAAGGUCCGGGCGUUAUCCGGAUUUAUUGGGUUUAAAGGGAGCGUAGGCCGCGUUUUAAGCGUGUUGUGAAAUGUAGACGCCCAACGUCUGCAUCGCAGCGCGAACUGGGACGCUUGAGUACGCGCAACGUUGGCGGAAUUCGUCGUGUAGCGGUGAAAUGCUUGGAUAUGACGAGGAACACCGAUUGCGAAGGCAGCUGACGGGAGCGGCACUGACGCUUAAGCUCGAAGGUGCGGGUAUCAAACAGG
rnacentral:rRNA from 1 species